UACAGAGGUCUCAAGCGUUGUUCGGAUUCAUUGGGCGUAAAGGGUGCGUAGGCGGGUCUUUAAGUCAGGGGUGAAAUCCUGGAGCUCAACUCCAGAACUGCCUUUGAUACUGAAGAUCUUGAGUCCGGGAGAGGUGAGUGGAACUGCGAGUGUAGAGGUGAAAUUCGUAGAUAUUCGCAAGAACACCAGUGGCGAAGGCGGCUCACUGGCCCGGUACUGACGCUGAGGCACGAAAGCGUGGGGAGCAAACAGG
rnacentral:rRNA from 1 species